CCAUUUCUUAGUUUAAACUCAGUAGACUACUUUGCUAAGAUUUCUAUACUCCUUUUUGAGAAUGGAAAACUUUCCAAUCAUCAAGUGCUUAAAGAUUUUAAGAUUGCUGAAGUAUCCUAUGGUUGACAAUAUGCCUGAGAAGAUGGUCAGUAAAUUCUCAUAGCAUGUAUUUUAAGAGGGCUCAGAUCUUGGUAAGAGAUAUUGGAAGAGCCAGACAUAAACCCAUAUCUGUGCUCCUCAACAGUUGCUUUUGUUAUGACAUGCAUCAGCAAGGAGAAUAUUUGCAUCAUGAGACCUU